UUUCAAUGUAGAUAAAUAAUCAGCAAUGAUAACAUAUGCAUAGCAUUCGUUUUUCGCCAGAAGGCCCAUUUUCGCAAGCAGCACUUGGCGCUAGUUUAUUCAGUUUGAGACAAUAGGCUUUACACUUAUUGGCAUCGCAUGGAUUACUUUUGUUUCGUAAAAUUUCACCACAUUUUCUGUCACCUUUUGCUGUCGAAAUCGUCGUUUCUCCUGUUAUUAUAAUAACUAAAAUAUAACCUUAGUUUUCAUAUUUAAAAUAAAAAAUCAAUUUUUGUAAAAUAUAUGUUUAGAGUUUUUAUGCAUAUUUAUAUUAAAAAAAUUGAAAGUCUAAAUAUCUUCUUUUUUAAUCUUUCAUUAUUCUUGAAAAAUCAUUAAACUCAAUAAUAUAGAAUUAAACAUAUAAUCUAUGUAGUUACCCUUAGUGAGUUUAUAUUUAUAAUUUAUUAUGUAAUUAAAAAUAAAAAAAUAUUUUAAAAUAAUGAUAAUUCUUAUCUAUAUUGGGUUAUUAUCUGGAAAAUGAUAUUUAUAUUAUAAAAUUUAAUAUAUUAAGAUACAAAAAAAUCAAACAAAAAUAUUUGUAUAAAGAUAUUUUCUAAACUAUUUCUAAUAUAUGAGUGUUUUCCAUUUGUAUAAACAUAUAUAUUUUGAUGAAAAACUAGUAUAUAUAAAUAAUUUGAUUUUUAAACUUUUCGAGAACAUUUAAAUUAAUAAAAGAUAAACUAAUAAGUAUUUGUACAAAGAUUAUGUCUUUAUGUGCGGGUAAAACACCUAGUAUAAAAUAAAUGAUAGCAAAUAAAUUUAUUUUUUAAUGAUUAUUCAAUAUUAUUAAUAAAGCAAUAAAUGUAAAUACAAACCGAGCAGAAGAAUUGUGAGCAUAAAGAAACCAAUAAACCAAGGUUUGAAAGUAACUUUC
rnacentral:lncRNA from 1 species